AAAAUGAAGAUCCAGAUUCUCCUGCUGGCCUGUGCUUUUGUGGCUGCGAUCAUUGCCGCACCAUCAGCAGAUGAUUCUGCUAAACCCAAAGCCAUCAAUGAUGAGGUUAAAGCUGAUGUGCCAAAGCCAAAUCUGGAUGCCUCCGGAGUGAAGGAGCCAGAGCAGGACGCCACUGAAGUGAAGGAGCCCAACAUGGAGGAUGACUUAGAAGAUAAUGAGGCCACCGUGGAGGAUGGCACCGAAAAUGAAGAGCCCAACAUGGACGAGGAUUCUGAAGACGAUGAGCCCGACAUGGAUGAGGAUUCCGAAGACGAUGAGCCCAACAUGGACGAGGAUUCUGAAGACGAUGAGCCCGACAUGGACGAGGAUUCUGAAGACGAUGAGCCCGACAUGGACGAGGAUUCUGAAGAUGAUGAGCCGGACAUGGACGAGGAUUCCCAAGAUGAUGAGCCCGACAUGGACGAGGAUUCCCAAGAUGAUGAGCCCGAGAUGGAUGAAGAUUCCAAGAAAGAUGAGCCCAAGAAAGAUGAGGUUGAGCCUAGGCCUGUUAAGUAAAAACCUGAAAUAGCUGAAUCCCUCACAACACCUUGCCU
rnacentral:lncRNA from 1 species